rnacentral:rRNA from 1 species
GUUAGAGUUCGGGGGGACCACCUGUGGGAAGGCCGGUUUUCGGCGCAUUCCUGACGGCUGAGGCGCAGAAAGCGUGGGGACCCAACGGGGAUUAAAUACCCCGGUAGUCCACGCUGUAAACGAAGACGAAUAGUUGUGGGGGGGUUCAGUCCUUUCCGUGCCCCAGGUGACGCAUUAAGUCGUCCGCCUGGGGAGUACGGCCGCAAGGUGAAACUCAAAGGAAUUGACGGGGGCCCGCACAAGCGGUGGAGCAUGUGGUUCAAUUCGAUGCAGAGCGAAGAACCUUACCUGGGCUUGACAUGCAGGAAGUAGAAACCGGAAACGGGGACGACCUGUUAAGUCAGGAACCUGCACAGGUGGUGCAUGGCUGUCGUCAGCUCGUGCCGUGAGGUGUUGGGUUAAGUCCCGCAACGAGCGCAACCCUCACUCUAUGUUGCCAUCGGGUAAUGCCGGGCACUCUUAGGGGACUGCCGGCGAAGAGCUGGAGGAAGGGGGGGAUGACGUCAAGUCCGUAUGCCCCUUAUGUCCAGGGCUGCACACAUGCUACAAUGGCCGAUACAGAGGGUUCCCAACCCGCGAGGGGGAGGCAAUCCCACAAAGUCGGUCUCAGUUCGGAUUGCAGGCUGCAACUCGCCUGCAUGAAGUCGGAAUCGCUAGUAAGCGCAGAUCAGCAGGCUGCGCUGAAUACGUUCCCGGGCCUUGUACACACCGCCCGUCACACCACGAAAGCCGGUUGUACCAGAAGUCGCUGAGCCAACCGCAAGGAGGCAGGCGCCGAAGGUAUGGUCGGUGAUUGGGGUGAAGUCGUAACAAGGUAAAUCGAAUUCCCGCGGCC